GCCGGGGUGCCCGAGCGGUCCAAGGGGGUGGGCUCGAGACCCACUGGGCUCUACGCCCGCGCGGGUUCAAAUCCCGCCCCCGGCGCCA
rnacentral:tRNA from 1 species